UUUCAUGAGUGCAAUAUUGUUGAAGAAUUGACUUUGGUUCUUGAGAUGAACCAUUGGAACAUCUCCAUUUGGUUAUAAAACUAAGCUUGUAAAAGUUAUGUUCGGUUAUUGAGAUUAGCUAGUGAAAUCUCUACAUGAUUCAUGUUCAUACUAUGGAAAAGCUCUCUUUUUAUUGUGGAGAUAAGCUAGUGUAAAAUCUCUCGAUUAGCUUGUAUCAAGAGUUCGUGAGCAUAAUGUCAUACCCAAAUUUUGUCCGGGCAUUUUAAAAUUUCAUAAAUUCAAUUUUAAUUUCAGUUUGUAUCAUAUAUAUAGCAUGACAUUCAUUUCAUCAUUAAUAAUACCUAAAAUAUUAGUCGGAAUAAAUUCUUGAAAAUACAGACAAAUUGGUUAAAUCAUCUCUCAAGUACGUGCAAAAUCAGCGGAUAAAAAGUUUCGAAAUCAAGCUUGCAGACUUCAGUAUUUUUAAUCUACGGUUC
rnacentral:lncRNA from 1 species